UUGUUUGCUGGUGUGGCAUCAUCAAGAUUCACAAACUCACACUAGAAGAAGAAGCUCAAGGGAAGUUUCUUUUGAAUUCUGAGAAUCUUGAUGAUGCUGCAUUGGCAAUCAA
rnacentral:pre_miRNA from 1 species